rnacentral:rRNA from 1 species
AGAGUUUGAUCAUGGCUCAGGAUGAACGCUAGCUACAGGCUUAACACAUGCAAGUCGAGGGGCAGCAUUGGAGUAGCAAUACUUCAGAUGGCGACCGGCGCACGGGUGAGUAACACGUAUCCAACCUGCCGCUUACUCGGGGAUAGCCUUUCGAAAGAAAGAUUAAUACCCGAUGGUAUAAAGAGUUCGCAUGUUCUCUUUAUUAAAGAAUUUCGGUAAGCGAUGGGGAUGCGUUCCAUUAGAUAGUUGGCGGGGUAACGGCCCACCAAGUCUACGAUGGAUAGGGGUUCUGAGAGGAAGGUCCCCCACAUUGGAACUGAGACACGGUCCAAACUCCUACGGGAGGCAGCAGUGAGGAAUAUUGGUCAAUGGACGCGAGUCUGAACCAGCCAAGUAGCGUGAAGGAUGACUGCCCUAUGGGUUGUAAACUUCUUUUAUAAGGGAAUAAAGUGAGGGACGUGUCCCUUUUUGUAUGUACCUUAUGAAUAAGGAUCGGCUAACUCCGUGCCAGCAGCCGCGGUAAUACGGAGGAUCCAAGCGUUAUCCGGAUUUAUUGGGUUUAAAGGGAGCGUAGGUUGACAUAUAAGUCAGCUGUGAAAGUUUACGGCUCAACCGUGAAAUUGCAGUUGAUACUGUAUGUCUUGAGUGUACAAGAGGUGGGCGGAAUUCGUGGUGUAGCGGUGAAAUGCUUAGAUAUCACGAAGAACUCCAAUUGCGAAGGCAGCUCACUGGGGUACAACUGACACUGAGGCUCGAAAGUGUGGGUAUCAAACAGGAUUAGAUACCCUGGUAGU